GUCUCCCUCUUCCCUUCCCUCUGCCCUGCCCCUUUUGCCUCUUUGCUGGGUAAUGUUGACCAGACAAGGCCCUUUCUCUUGGACUUAAACAAUUCUCAGUUGCACUUUCCUUGGUCCCACCCAUUAUACAUGAACCCCUCUACUUCCUUUCGCAUUGCUUCUGAGUAUGCUGACUACCCAAAGCCCCUUCUGUGUUAUUAAUAAACACAGUACUGAUUGUCCCAUUUUUCAGCCCAUCAGUCCAAGAUCUCCCUACCACUUUGGUGUGUUGGUGCAGUGUUGACUAUGAAAAGCAGGCCUGAACUAGGUGGAUAAGCCUUCACUCAUUUUCUUUCAUUUAUUAAUGAUCCUAGUUUCAAUUAUUGUCAGAUUCUGGGGACAAGAACCAUUCUUGCCCACCUGUGUUACUGCUUUACUGUGCAAAAUACUGAAGGCAAGUCAGACCCAGGGAGCUGGAUUGCCAUCCUUUAUUUUGUGUUUCCAGUGUACACUAUAAAAUUGUCUCCCCAGGAAGGAAGGUUGGCACUUUCUCUGCAUUCUUCUUUCCAGAGCAGAUUGCCUGGUUAAGAAUCUCUUGUUGUCCCCUUUGUAUAUUGUUAUUGUAAAGUGCCAAAUGCCAGGAUACAGCCAGAAAAAUUGCUUAUUAUUAUUAAAAAAAUUUUUUUAAGAAAGACAUCUGGAUUGUAGGGUGGACUCGAUAACCUGGUCAUUAUUUUUUUGAAGCCAAAAUAUCCAUUUAUACUAUGUACCUGGUGACCAGUGUCUCUCAUUUUAACUGAGGGUGGUGGGUCUGUGGAUAGAACACUGACUCUUGCUAUUUUAAUAUCAAAGAUAUUCUAGAGUGGAACUCUUAAGACCAGUAUCUUUGUGUGGGCUUUACCAGCAUUCACUUUUAGAAAAACUACCUAAAUUUUAUAAUCCUUUAAUUUCUUCAUCUGGAGCACCUGCCCCUACUUAUUUCAAGAAGAUUGCAGUAAAACGAUUAAAUGAGGGAACAUAUGCAGAGGUGCUUUUAAAAAGCAUAUGCCACCUUUUUUAUUAAUUAUUAUAUAAAAUGAAGCAUUUAAUUAUAGUAAUAAUUUGAAGUAGUUUGAAGUACCACACUGAGGUGAGGACUUAAAAAUGAUAAGACGAGUUCCCUAUUUUAUAAGAAAAAUAAGCCAAAAUUAAAUAUUCUUUUGGAUAUAAAUUUCAACAGUGAGAUAGCUGCCUAGUGGAAAUGAAUAAUAUCCCAGCCACUAGUGUACAGGGUGUUUUGUGGCACAGGAUUAUGUAAUAUGGAACUGCUCAAGCAAAUAACUAGUCAUCACAACAGCAGUUCUUUGUAAUAACUGAAAAAGAAUAUUGUUUCUCGGAGAAGGAUGUCAAAAGAUCGGCCCAGCUCAGGGAGCAGUUUGCCCUACUAGCUCCUCGGACAGCUGUAAAGAAGAGUCUCUGGCUCUUUAGAAUACUGAUCCCAUUGAAGAUACCACGCUGCAUGUGUCCUUAGUAGUCAUGUCUCCUUAGGCUCCUCUUGGACAUUCUGAGCAUGUGAGACCUGAGGACUGCAAACAGCUAUAAGAGGCUCCAAAUUAAUCAUAUCUUUCCCUUUGAGAAUCUGGCCAAGCUCCAGCUAAUCUACUUGGAUGGGUUGCCAGCUAUCUGGAGAAAAAGAUCUUCCUCAGAAGAAUAGGCUUGUUGUUUUACAGUGUUAGUGAUCCAUUCCCUUUGACGAUCCCUAGGUGGAGAUGGGGCAUGAGGAUCCUCCAGGGGAAAAGCUCACUACCACUGGGCAACAACCCUAGGUCAGGAGGUUCUGUCAAGAUACUUUCCUGGUCCCAGAUAGGAAGAUAAAGUCUCAAAAACAACCACCACACGUCAAGG
rnacentral:lncRNA from 1 species